UUGAAUAAACCUGAUGAGUUGUAGCUGGUUUCCUUAGGGGACAUGUGCUCGCUUGUCAUCUUUAUAUCUCCACCUGUGCACCUCUUGUAGACCUGGAUAACUUUCUGAGGCAACUCAGCUUUGAGGAUUGAUAACUUUGUUAGCUUUCCUUACAUUUCCAGGCCUAUGUUUUUCAUAUACCCCUAUUGUAUGUAACAGAAUGUCUUAUUAGGCUUGAAUGCCUAUAAACUAUAUA
rnacentral:misc_RNA from 1 species